CAACACUCAAGCUCUGCUUGGUAUUGGACCGCAUCAGUUCUGAUCGGUCUUAAAAUCAGUGGCGGUGCCAUCGUGCUCUAAGCGUAGUAAUACUCCUCGCUACAGGGUCUCGGCGCGUGCUUGCCAGCAACCCCCAACUUUCUAA
rnacentral:misc_RNA from 2 species